GCAGGAAGUCGCGCUCGGCGGGAGUGGAGCCGCCCCACGGCCGGGCGGCGCGAGCCGGCAGCGACCAUGAUUCGUGGUGCCCAGAGCAAAGGAAAGACCACUUCUUCCCUUCUGGGGCGGCAUUGGAGCCAGAGCCCCGAGCCCCAUCUCGUCUCUGCCCUGCUUGAGUUUUCUGGAAUGGACCUGCCCACCAGGAAGCCAAGUCACCCUUGGUCCUGGUCUUGCCUGCCCCCAGGGGAACACAGGAAGCCUGCUUAUGAAUGUUUGAAAAUGCAUCUGUGCGUACCUGCGGGGGAAUUGGGACGUCGCCGGCUCUAG
rnacentral:lncRNA from 1 species